rnacentral:rRNA from 1 species
CAGUCGCCACGGGAAUACGAAGGGGGCUAGCGUUGCUCGGAAUGACUGGGCGUAAAGGGCGCGUAGGCGGCGAUCAAAGUCAGGCGUGAAAUUCCUGGGCUCAACCUGGGGGCUGCGCUUGAUACUUGGUUGCUUGAGUGGGGAAGGGGGUCGUGGAAUUCCCAGUGUAGAGGUGAAAUUCGUAGAUAUUGGGAAGAACACCGGUGGCGAAGGCGGCGACCUGGUCCUUGACUGACGCUGAGGCGCGAAAGCGUGGGGAGCAAACAGGAUUAGAUACCCCAGUAGUCCCUGUCUCUUAUAC